rnacentral:rRNA from 1 species
UACGAGAGGCCCAAACGUUAUUCGGAAUUACUGGGCUUAAAGAGUCCGUAGGCGGCGCAGAAAGUAGGGUGUGAAAGCCCUCGGCUUAACCGAGGAAUUGCGCUCUAAACUACUGUGCUUGAGGAACCUAGAGGUGAGCGGAACUGAUGGUGGAGCGGUGAAAUGCGUUGAUAUCAUCAGGAACACCGGAGGCGAAGGCGGCUCACUGGGGGUUAUCUGACGCUGAGGGACGAAAGCUAGGGGAGCGAAAGGG